CAGUGCCCGCAGCGGGUCCGGCAGCCCUGGCCUUAUCCGGGCGUCGGGGCUUCGGCGGGCAUUAGCAGCAGCUGAGAGGCCUGUGAGAGGUUCUGGGGCGCCACCGCAGUCAUUCUGUUCAGCGGGUAUAGGCCAUCACGGGGAGGCUCUACCUUCAAGUGUUAUCCAGAAUCAGACCACCUCACCUCAUCUACUGUGGCCUCCCUGGGAUGGGCCUGGCCUCCUUCAGUCUGUUCUCACCACAAAGCCACCAGAAGGAUCCUUUUAUUUUUAUUGAUUGAUUGAUUGAUACGGGGUCUGACUCUGUCAGCAGGCUGGAGUGCAAUGGCACGAUCUCACCUCACUGCAACCUCUGCUUCUUGGACUCAAGCAAUCCUCCCACC
rnacentral:lncRNA from 1 species